UCUAAUUUUGCGUACAUCGUAUAAAGCAUCAGGUUAAUACAGCAUCAUUCAAAUUUGGCAAUUACAAGAAAGGGUUUGAACUAACUCAGGAACAUCUUUCUGACGUAUCUUGAGAGAAAAAUCAGCUCUUAUCAAUCUGUUGCCAUGCGUUUACUACAAAGCUUCAACAGAAGAUUCUCUCUAUUUUCUCAUUCGGACAUUCUCUCUUAUAUUCGGACAGACAGACUUCCUCUGAAUCGAUCUUAUUCAAAAUUUGAGAACUGAAGUGUCUUGAACAACAGCUGCGGAUUUUCAACUAGGCAAUUGCUUAAGGUCACUGGGUAGAGGAG